UCAUUUCCUUUAUCUUUCCUUUUCUUUUCUCUAUCGUUGUUAGGUUUCCUUUCCUCUAUCGCUGUUAGGUUUCCUUCGUCUCCCACCUCUUCUUCUUUCCUUUUCUCUUUGCAAUGUAACCAGGUUCUUCCCUCUCCACAGCAAGUAAGGAGAAGCUCAAAGGUAACCUAUUUAUUAUUUCUUCCCUCACCGCAGCACCGCAGGUAGCCUCGCCAGGCGACGAGGGUCGCCUCGCCAAGCGACGAGGGUCGCCUCGCCAGGCGACGAGGGUUUGCUUUGAGUUGCCACAUUCUGACGACGAGAAGGAGAAGAUGGUGUCAGAGGAAGAGAUCAGCCUGUCUUCCUCUUCUGGCUCCCUCCCCACAUCCAAGGAUGUCUUCCUCUUCUGGCUCCCUCCCCACAUCCAAGGAAGAUAUCAACCAAUGAUGCCAAGUCAUUGCGAGAUAUGGCAUGGAAGAAAGAUUCUCGAAUUCGUGAUGCGUAUUUGGCUUGUGAGAGUAAGGGUGAGCAUGAAAGGUUGACUACCUUCCUGAAGUUGACAUACACCAGUACAAGGUCAGGAUUGCACAUUAUCCAUAUUGCUGCAGAAAUGGCACCAGUUGCAAAGGUUGGUGGUUUAGGGGAUGUUAUCACUGGUCUUGGUAAAGCAUUGCAGAGGAAGGGACACCUAGUGGAAAUUGUCCUUCCAAAAUAUGAUUGUAUACAGUAUGAUCUUAUUGCUGAUCUGAAGGCACUGGAUGUUGUGAUAGAGUCUUAUUUUGAUGGGCAACUAUUUAGGAACAAAAUUUGGGUUGGGACUAUUGAAGGUCUGCCUGCUUAUUUAAUUGAGCCUCACCAUCCAGCCAAGUUCUUCUGGAGAGGAACAUAUUAUGGAGAGCAUGACGACUUCAAACAGUUUUCGUUUUUCAGUCGUGCUGCACUUGUGUUGCUCUAUGAAGCUGGGAAAAGGCCUGACAUAAUCCAUUGUCAUGAUUGGCAAACAACCUUGGUUGUAUGGACCAAAUCCGAUCUUCUUAAAUCGUGCUGUCUGAUGGUCAUUGAUUUCUAGUGAAAUUCAAUGGACCUUAGCUUUAUAGAUCUAUGGUUUAUUAACGUACUCAGAUUUUUUUUAAAAAAAUUUAGGCACCACUUUAUUGGGACAUAUAUGCUGCAAAGGGUUUGAAUUCAGCUAGAAUUUUCUUUACCUGCCACAACUUUGAGCAUCAAGGAACAUAUAUAUGUUGCAAAGGGUUUUUAAAGCACGGGCACUAUUUUUGUUACUUUUCUUUUUAUUUAUUUAUUAUUUUGGUAGAGUUCAUAAAAACAGGUAUCAAUCUUUCAUGCUCUUUUAUGUUUGUCAAAAUAGUCUAUAUAUCUCGUUCAAAGCUUUACCAAUUUCUUUAUAUAUGUGCCCAUCCAUUAAAUUUCAAGUAGAAUUGGAGUUAAGGUUGAUAGUUUAAAGAAGUGUGAAUAAACUCAGCUCUAUUAAGUUUGUGUAGUAUGCAUUUUCCAUAGUUGGUUUAAGUGAUAAUGAGAGGACUGAUUACCAGUGUUAUUGACAAGUAAAGUUUGUUGAUUUAUUUUGUUACUAAUGAUGUUUGCUUUGUUGGUGCACAUAUACUGUUAUGGAAACAAAAACUUUUCAUUGUUUUCUUUGGUGUUUGUAGUUAACAGUAAACGAAGAUUACUAUUAGGUGCAUAUGGAAUGAUACUUUACAUUUUUCUCAUUUGGUGACAGGUACUUGGAUUUUUAUGAAUCAAUAUAAUGGUUGAAGAUGAUCCAUCUAAUCGAGUUUUUAUUUUACAAGAUUUUGUUAGUAUUUACAAUUUAAUAUUUUGAGUGUAUUUGUAGGUUGUUUUGGAUGUAAAAGAUUUAUCAUUAGUAUUGCAUUUGUAAAUUUGACUCAAAUGAUUAUUGGAUUAAUAAAAAUAUCUAUGAGCC